rnacentral:tRNA from 1 species
GACUGGGUGUCGCAAUGGUAGCGCGUCUGACUCCAGAUCAGAAGGUUGCGUGUUCGAAUCACGUCCGGGUCA